rnacentral:rRNA from 1 species
UACGUAGGGUGCAAGCGUUGUCCGGAAUUAUUGGGCGUAAAGAGCUCGUAGGCGGCUUGUCGCGUCGUUCGUGAAAACCCGGGGCUCAACUCCGGGCUUGCGGGCGAUACGGGCAGGCUAGAGUUCGGUAGGGGAGUGUGGAAUUCCUGGUGGAGCGGUGAAAUGCGCAGAUAUCAGGAGGACACCCGUAGCGAAGGCGGCACUCUGGGCCGAUACUGACACUGAGGAGCGAAAGCGUGGGGAGCGAACAGG